rnacentral:rRNA from 1 species
ACAGAGGUCCCGAGCGUUGUUCGGAUUCACUGGGCGUAAAGGGUGCGUAGGUGGUGAGGUGUGUCGGAUGUGAAAUCUCGGAGCUCAACUCCGAAACUGCAUUGGAAACUACCUUGCUAGAGGGUUGGAGGGGGGACUGGAAUACUUGGUGUAGCAGUGAAAUGCGUAGAUAUCAAGUGGAACACCAGUGGCGAAGGCGAGUCCCUGGACAACUCCUGACACUGAGGCACGAAAGCUAGGGGAGCAAACAG